rnacentral:rRNA from 1 species
AUUGAACGCUGGCGGCAUGAUUUACACAUGCAAGUCGAACGGUAACAGGCCGCAAUUUGCUGACGAGUGGCGAACGGGUGAGUAAUGCAUCGGAACGUGCCCAGUCGUGGGGGAUAACUACUCGAAAGAGUAGCUAAUACCGCAUACGAUCUAUGGUUGAAAGCGGGGGACCGUAAGGCCUCGCGCGAUUGGAGCGGCCGAUGUCAGAUUAGGUAGUUGGUGGGGUAAAGGCUGACCAAGCCAACGAUCUGUAGCUGGCCUGAGAGGACGAGCGGCCACACUGGAACUGAGACACGGCCCAGACUCCUACGGGAGGCAGCAGUGGGGAAUUUUGGACAAUGGGCGCAAGCCUGAUCCAGCAAUGCCGCGUGCGGGAAGAAGGCCUUCGGGUUGUAAACUGCUUUUGUACGGAACGAAACGGCUCUGGUUAAUACCCGGGGCUAAUGACGGUACCGUAAGAAUAAGCACCGGCUAACUACGUG